rnacentral:rRNA from 1 species
AGCUCCAAUAGCGUAUAUUAAAGUUGUUGCAGUUAAAAAGCUCGUAGUUGAAUUUUGGCCUUCGCCUGUGGGGUUCGGUCUUCAUUGAUCGGUACCUCAACGGGCGGGGCUCCACCUUCUGGGUUAGCCAGUCGUCAUUUCGGUGGCGGCUGGUGAACCAGAACUUUUACUUUGAAAAAAUUGGAGUGUUUAAAGCAGGCUUUCAAGCCUGAACAUAUUAGCAUGGAAUAAUGAAAUAGGACUUUGGCCUUAUUUCGUUGGUUUCUAAAGCCAAAGUAAUGAUGAAUAGGGAUAGUUGGGGACAUUAGUAUUCAAUUGUCAGAGGUGAAAUUCUUGGAUUUAUUGAAGACUAACUUCUGCGAAAGCAUUUGUCAAGGAUGUUUUCA